rnacentral:lncRNA from 1 species
GCUAAAUCUUCUUUUUUUUUCUUUUUCUUUUUUUUUUGUGAGUCAUUUGGUGAGGCUCUUGAUCAGUAAUUUUCAUCUUCAGUUUGUAGAUAUCUUAAGUCUCAGGUGUGCAAUUAGUUAUACUUGAAUUAAUAAAUUUAAGGAUUGAAGGAAAAAUCACCCACUGCCAGCUGUUACUUGUCUGAUUCAGUGUUUUCUGAAAAAAAAAAAAAAAAAAAAAAAAAACCAGGAAAGCCUUUUCCUUAAAACAUUUAGUUUAUAAGUUUGCAUCUUUUCCAUGUCUCAUCUUUUACUAUACUAAUUAGUAUCACACUUAAUUCUCAAAUUGUUACAUGUAAGUUACCUUUGCCUCCCUAAAUUGUAAAUUAUUAGAACCGGUGAUUCUUACUUAUUUUGCAGUCUUCUUUUUCCCAGUGCCUUGCACAGGAUAAGUCAAAUUUGGGGUGCUUAUUACAUGCCAGUUACUAUUCCAUAUACAUUGCAUGUAUUUACUCAUUCAAUCUUGUGAGCAGCUACAUGAGAUAGAUGCGAUUAUCCCUCUUUUACCUGAAAACAGGAUUGAAUAACUUCCUAGGCUAUCAAAGUAUGCGAUAAAUACUGUGACUACACUAUAUUUCCUCAUAUGUAGUAGGGUUUUGAGGAAUACUUUUUGACUGAUUAUCUUCAAUGUGAAGGUUUUCAUUUGCUGGCAUUUAUUUCCAAAACAAAGAUUCCUUUAAUCUAUAUUGCUUGUCUAAAUGCAGAGUAGGAGUAUUAUUUCAUAUUGUAUUCUACUUGUAAUUAUAUCUCGAAUUGCUUAUUUAGUGAUUUAUAACAUCUUGGAGAAAAAUACAGAAUAUUCAUGUAAAACAAUAUUUCAUAAAGAUAAUUGGGUAACAUAUGUAACAAUUUAUAUCAAAUCUCUUGAACUCACCACAAUCUCUAGUCUUUUUCCCCUCCUGUUUAUGACACCAUUGUGCUUUUAGUGUCAGAGACAGUCUUUGUUUCAUAUGUUCAAUUUCUUGCCACAUCUGGAUGUAGCGUAUCUGUAGUGUUUUCUGUUUCUGCUGCUGCUGUUAGGUUCUCUUUACCUAACCUUUCACUAAUUUUAAUCUUAUUUCUCUGCUUUAAUAUUUGUUGCCUAUUUAUGACAUUAAAAUUUUCUUAAAGUACAACUUUCAUGUGCAGAACUUUCAGUGGUGUUGCAUUACCUCCAAAAUAAAAUCCAGAUUUCAUAAUCUGCCAUUCAUCGCCACCUAGUUUGAUCCACUCACUUUCACACAUUGUUUGGUACAAUCAUCUACUAAGUAGGCUUUCUCUUUAUCCUGUACUUACUUAGACCUCUGUUUUAUGCCCA